UGUUACCAUUUUAGUUAAAUUUAAUCCCUAAUUGAUCUGACUAACCAGCCAAAAAGGAUUAUAUAGACAAUGUCUGCAAAUAGAUGGAAUUAAUGAAAAUUAGUCCUUAAUACUUCCGUCUGACUACAUGAUAGUAUUUUGUGGCUAAACAUAGUUUUUACUCGAUGAAAUAUUUACCAACUUACAUUGACAAAUUCUUCUCCUUCAUUUGAAGAUCAAAAGCCAAAUCACACAUGGAUCCCCAAACUUUAGGUUUACCAUUACUAAUUCUCUAGCUUGGAAAUUUUAAAAUAAAAUCAUAGGAAAACUAUUGGAAGUAGUCCAGUGGUUAUUUGAGUCUCCUGAAUAUUAAGGUGGUUCACUGUAAAACUGGGCAAUUAGGGUUUGGUCAAUUACUCAAGUAUGUUUCCUCUGGGUAUUGAUUGUUCCCUAAGUGGUUAAUAGCCGGCUACACUUUUCUUGUGAUUAGUAAUACAUGUAUAGGAGUCUCAUCUUGGUUGUCAACUCCUUAAUUCAAGAAGCUGAUGUUUUAUCUUCCCUAAGCCGUCAGUUGUGGCGUAAAUCAAGGAGGGUUAAUCUCCUUAUAUAUUUCUGUACAAUUGUAAUGAGGUUACGAAUGAAAUACAAGAUAACACUUUGAAAGUCAAUAAAACCAUGAAUCUUAUUAUAUACCAAAGUCAGGAUAUUAUGAUAAAAAUCAAUUGAUACGAAAGAGUAGAGCUAUUAAAGACCUUGCAAAUUGGAUCAAGAGAUUGAGCAGAUUG
rnacentral:lncRNA from 1 species